UACGAGAGGCCCAAACGUUAUUCGGAAUUACUGGGCUUAAAGAGUUCGUAGGCGGCAUUGCAAGUAGGGUGUGAAAGCCCUCGGCUCAACCGAGGAAUUGCGCUCUAAACUGCAGUGCUUGAGGAACCUAGAGGUGAGCAGAACAGAUGGUGGAGCGGUGAAAUGCGUAGAGAUCAUGAGGAAGACCAGUGGCGAAGGCGGGUCUCUGGACAGUUCCUGACACUGAGACACGAAGGCCAGGGGAGCAAACAGG
rnacentral:rRNA from 1 species